AUUGAACGCUGGCGGCAUGCCUAACACAUGCAAGUCGAGCGGAUGAAGGGAGCUUGCUCCUGGAUUCAGCGGCGGACGGGUGAGUAAUGCCUAGGAAUCUUCCUGGUAGUGUUGGAUAACGUCCGGGAACGGGCGCUAAUACCGCAUACGUCCUGAGGGAGAAAGGGGGGGGGCUUCGGACCUCACGCUAUCAGAUGAGGCUAGGUCGGAUUAGCGAGUUGGUGGGGUAAAGGCCUACCAAGGCGACGAUCCGGAACUGGUCCGAGAGGAUGAUAAGUGACACUGGAACUGAGACACGGUCCAGACUCCUACGGGAGGCAGCAGUGGGGAAUAUUGGACAAUGGGCGAAAGACUGAUCCAGCCAUGCCGCGUGUGUGAAGAAGGUCUUCGGAUUGUAAAGCACUUUAAGUUGGGAGGAAGGGCAGUAAGUUAAUACCUUGCUGUUUUGACGUUACCAACAGAAUAAGCACCGGCUAACUUCGUG
rnacentral:rRNA from 1 species